GACGAACGCUGGCGGCGUGCCUAAUACAUGCAAGUAGGACGCAGUUGCGAACGGGUGAGUAACGCGUAGGUAACUACCUAUUAGAGGGGGAUAACUAGUGGAAACGAUAGCUAAUACCGCAUACUAGUAGAUGGACCUGCGUUGUAUUAGCUAGUAGGUAGGGUAAUGGCCUACCUAGGAAACGAUACAUAGCCGACCGGCGAGGUGUAUCGGCCAACAUGGGACGGGGACACGGGCCAGACUCCUUCGGGAGGCAGCAGUAGGGAAUCUUCGGCAAUGGGGGGCACCCUGACCGCGCAACGCCGCGGGAGUGAAGAAGGUUUUCGGAUCGUAAAGCUCUGUUGUUAAGGAAGCGGUACUUAACCAGAAAGGGACGGCUAACUACGUGCCAGCAGCCGCGGUAAUAC
rnacentral:rRNA from 1 species